rnacentral:rRNA from 1 species
AUUGAACGCUGGCGGCAUGCUUUACACAUGCAAGUCGAACGGCAGCACGGACUUCGGUCUGGUGGCGAGUGGCGAACGGGUGAGUAAUACAUCGGAACGUGCCCAGUUGUGGGGGAUAACUACUCGAAAGAGUAGCUAAUACCGCAUGAGAACUGAGGUUGAAAGCAGGGGAUCGUAAGACCUUGCGCAACUGGAGCGGCCGAUGGCAGAUUAGGUAGUUGGUGGGAUAAAAGCUUACCAAGCCGACGAUCUGUAGCUGGUCUGAGAGGACGACCAGCCCUACUGGGACUGAGGCACGGCCCAGACUCCUACGGGAGGCAGCAGUGGGGAAUUUUGGACAAUGGGCGAAAGCCUGAUCCAGCAAUGCCGCGUGCAGGAUGAAGGCCUUCGGGUUGUAAACUGCUUUUGUACGGAACGAAAAGCUUCGGGUUAAUACCCUGGAGUCAUGACGGUACCGUAAGAAUAAGCACCGGCUAACUACGUGCCAGCCGCCGCCGUAA